AGUUUAUUGUGACGUGAAUCAAUGGACGCGUGAAGGGAUUUUUCCCUAUCCCGGCAUGCUCGUUGAACCGUUCUUCCUUGUCAACUCAUAAGCGAUUUAUCACUAUGUACCUUUACGGUUGCGAUUUGGUGGUUGUUCGACAUUAUAGCCUACACUGGAAACAAGCAUUGACUCCAGACUAAUCAGGAGUGUUAAAUUGAGGCAAAAGCGAUCCUCGGCUACUGCAGGAAGUUCAUCGCCCUUGUUUCGGGGAAUCGACGGAAUACAGGUCUGCGACGACAUCAUCAAGCUCUAAAGAUUCUGAAUACUAAAGACAAGAGAGACAGCUAAAGACAAGACAGACUCAUCUCUGGUUCUGCUGAUUUUGCCCAGGGUAUUUUGCAGCAUACAACUAAUUUUGAAAACCGAGAUGCCAGGCUAUCAACUCGCCCAGAGUGAUUUGGAACAUGUUCAUCUCAAGUACAUAUGCAGACAGUGCAACUUUGUGUUACGUGACCCGCUACAAACACCGUGCGCUCAUUUUUAUUGCCGAGGCUGUUUGGAACACCUUAAAAGCAGCAACACGAUCUACAAAUGUAAAGCGGAUGAUGAAGAAUUCAGUCUAUCUGAGGUAGUAUACAGUGAUCAUCAUAUAACGCUAAUUCAGAUUGGCUGAAAACCAUCUUUAUGAAAAGUCAAACCAUGGCAUGUCUCUGAUGGACUACGUCCGGUCACGUGAACGAGUUUAAGGCCCCGUCCACACUACGCCGGACAAAUUUGGAAAAGCAGCUUUAUUUCUACGGGUAGGCCUAUCGUC